rnacentral:rRNA from 1 species
UACGUAGGGGGCAAGCGUUGUCCGGAAUCAUUGGGCGUAAAGAGCGCGUAGGCGGCCCUGUAAGUCCGCUGUGAAAGUCAAGGGCUCAACCCUUGAAUGCCGGUGGAUACUGCAGGGCUAGAGUCCGGAAGAGGCGAGUGGAAUUCCUGGUGUAGCGGUGAAAUGCGCAGAUAUCAGGAGGAACACCGGUGGCGAAGGCGGAUCUCUGGGCCGUACCUGACGCUCAGGUGCGAAAGCUAGGGGAGCGAACAGG